rnacentral:misc_RNA from 1 species
GAUGAAGAACGUAGCGAAAUGCGAUACGUAAUGUGAAUUGCAGAAUUCAGUGAAUCAUCGAGUCUUUGAACGCACAUUGCGCCCCCUGGUAUUCCGGGGGGCAUGCCUGUCCGAGCGUCAUUGCUGCCCUCAAGCCCGGCUUGUGUGUUGGGUCUCGUCCCCCUUCCCGGGGGGACGGGCCCGAAAGGCAGCGGCGGCACCGCGUCCGGUCCUCGAGCGUAUGGGGCUUUGUCACCCGCUCUGUAGGCCCGGCCGGCGCUUGCCGAUCAACCAAAACUUUUUUCCAGGUUGACCUCGGAUCAGGUAGGGAUACCCGCUGAACUUAAGCAUAUCAAUAGCGGAGGA